rnacentral:rRNA from 1 species
GCACAAGCGGAGGAACAGUGUGGUUAAUUCGAUGAUACGCGAGGAACCUUACCUGGGCUUAAAUGUAGAGUGCAUUCUCGAGAAAUCGGGAUUUCCUUCGGGACUCUUUGCAAGGUGCUGCAUGGUUGUCGUCAGCUCGUGCCGUGAGGUGUCGGGUUAAGUCCCAUAACGAGCGCAACCCUUAUCGUUAGUUGCCAGCGGGUCAUGCCGGGAACUCUAACGAAACUGCCGGUGUAAACCGUGAGGAAGGUGGGAUGACGUCAAAUCAGCACGGCCCUUAUGUCCAGGGCUACACACGUGUUACAAUGGCCGGUACAGAGGGCAGCUACCUGGAGACAGGAUGCGAAUCUCCAAAGCCGGUCUCAGUUCGGAUCGGAGUCUGCAACUCGACUCCGUGAAGCUGGAUUCGCUAGUAAUCGCGCAUCAGCCAUGGCGCGGUGAAUACGUUCCCGGGCCUU